rnacentral:lncRNA from 1 species
GGGUCGAGUUUAUCUCCUUUAAUCAUGUUUGUUUUGGUUGCUUGCUAUGUACGGAAGAUGAAUAUCUUCUUCCACUUCUAUGGUUUUACUUGUGUAUUCAGUUGUUGCACUCAGCUGAUUUGCAUUAUGGCCUACAAAUAAAAUAACUACGACGUGAGCCUCGUCGACGGCUACAACGUCAAGAUGGGGAUAAAACCGCAAGGAGGGUUCGGAGACUGCGAUUACGCAGGCUGCGUUUCCGACCUCAACAUGGUUUGCCCUAACGAGCUUCGUGUCAUGGGUCCGCAGAACAACGUGGCGGCGUGCAAGAGCGCAUGCGCGGCGUUUAACAAGGAGGAGUACUGCUGCACCGGUGCUCACUCCACGCCGCAAACUUGUUCUCCCACGACUUACUCGAUGACGUUCAAGAAAGCUUGCCCUGACGCUUAUAGCUAUGCUUAUGAUGAUGAAACUAGUACGUUCACUUGUGCCGGAGCUAACUACUUGAUCACUUUCUGCGCCACCGGUUCUUAAUAUAUGGAGCUUCGGUUUAGGUUCGGGUCGAGUUUAUCUCCUUUAAUCAUGUUUGUUUUGGUUGCUUGCUAUGUACGGAAGAUGAAUAUCUUCUUCCACUUCUAUGGUUUUACUUGUGUAUUCAGUUGUUGCACUCAGCUGAUUUGCAUUAUGGCCUACAAAUAAAAUAAUGAUCAUGAUUUCUG